AUUUAUUUAUUUAUUUUGAGCGCUACGCUUUUAGUAGCUGGAAAUGCAGCCACUAUCUUGAGUUUCUGUCAGCUAAAGAUGACGCAAAUAUUAGGGUUCGUUGUAGACUCUGUGCUGUCAACAAAAUUCUGUCUUGCUUCAAAGACACGACGUCAAACUUAAAAAAA